GUUUGGGAAUCUGAUUAACUUGAGGCAUGUUCACUCUGAAAUAUGUCAAUAUGGUUACGAGUGGAGAUGUUUGCUUCCUGAGGUAGGACAGUUGACUAUUCUUGAAACCUUGCCUUUCAUUAAGGUGAGUCAAGACUAGGGAUGUCAAAUAGAGGAGUUGGAUUACUUGCACAACAGUAAAGGUAAAUUACAAAUUUUUGCCUUUAACAUUACCAGCUAUGAAUCUGCAAUAAAAGCAAAUCUGUCUGGAAAGUCAGGCAUUAAACAUUUAGAACUUUUCUGGAGUGGCACCGAAAAAGAUCGCAAUGCCAAUUAUGUUCUGGAGGGUGUCAAAACUCACUGCAAUCUGAAAAGAUUAACAAUUGUGAGUUGUCAAAAUUCGAGUUUUCCCUCAUGGAUAGAGAUAGAAAACUUCUCCUUACAAUUUGUCAACUUAGUUGAGAUCAAAUUGGACCGGUUGAAUGAGUGUGAGCAACUUCCUUCACUUCGGAACUUGCCUUGCCUUCAGAUUCUUCAUAUUUUUGGCCUACACAAAGUGACAUGCAUUAUGGGUAGCUCAAACAUUCUUAACAGUAACAGGAAAGCAGUUUUGCUGUCCCAUCCCUGAAGAAACUUCGGCUGUUGAAUAUGCAUAGGCUGUUUGAGUGGUCAGGUGCAAUGAUUCCACCAGCUGGUUCAUCCAUCAAGUUUUCCCAAAUCUAGAGAAAUUGUAUCUCUACGGGCUUCCUAAGUUGGAUGUUUUACCAAAUCUGGGAAUCCAAACACAUCUACAACGGUUAGAAAUUUGUCAUUGCCAAAGCUUGACUUGUUUGCAGGACAUGACAAUUGUCCAACUUCAUUUUGGUUCACAGAUUGCCCAAAAAUAACUCUUCCUUCUAAAUCUCCAAAAUUGAGUCAGUGCUCUGAGGAUUCCAACUGUCUGGAAGAUCUUCUGUGUACACAGUUUGUGAAGGUCUGUAGAGCUCUUCAGUACGUUCUGUAUGCUGUGGAAUUUAAAGGGCUGGGCAUUACAGAAGCAGAGUGGUUGGACUUUAAGCAAUUACCUUGAACAGAAGCAAUGCAACAGAGGUGCAUUCAAGAAAAUGGCCCCAGAUUGCUCAUAUUCCUGAGUUUGAUAUUGUAGGUAACUUCUGUUCUACGAUGUCUUCUUGAUUUUCCCAAAGUUCCAAAUUUGGACAACUCUUUGAUUUUUGUCUCAGGUCCUGGUUCUUCACUCAGUUUAAAUUUGUAUGUAUGAACUCUUAAUCGCUUAUGUCUUCUUGUAAAACUUUCAUACAUAUCUGCAAUGACUGCUUAGAUUCCAUUUUUAAUGCUGUCACAAGGUCCUCUUCAACACUGGCUUUUGGCACUAGGGGGAGCAACAUAAUCUGAUUGCAGAAUUCAAGCAAUAAGGUUUAUCUUCUUGUAUUAUGCCAAAGCUGCUGAUCCUGUAUUGGCGGCCUCUAGAUAUUAUCGAAGCUUAGUGUUUUUAUAAGCCAAUGCAAUAAGUUGCAGGUUCUUUCAUGUUUGCUUGAGCAAUUUCUUUACCUUCUUAGGAUCCAUUUGGCUAGAUGGACAUUGAAAGUUGCAGCUUGGAAAUCUUCUACAUGGAAAUUUUCAUGAAAUCUUAUCCUUUUCUGUUAUUUUUAUGACAUUCUCAUCUGGUAUUGAUGCUAUUUCUUGGCCUA